UACGGAGGGGGCAAGCGUUGUUCGGAAUUACUGGGCGUAAAGGGCGCGCAGGCGGCUGCUCAAGUCAGGCGUGAAAGGCCUGGGCUCAACCCGGGAAUUGCGCUUGAGACUGGGCUGGCUUGAGUGCGGGAGAGGAUGGUGGAAUUCCCAGUGUAGAGGUGAAAUUCGUAGAUAUUGGGAAGAACACCGGUGGCGAUGGCGGCCAUCUGGACCGCAACUGACGCUGAGGCGCGAAAGCCAGGGGAGCAAACGGG
rnacentral:rRNA from 1 species